ensembl:lncRNA
GGGCUGGCCAUAAAGAUGGUAACCACUCAAAGCCAAAUGUUAGCGGUGCUGGCUGCGUUUCUGAUUGGUCCAGCCUCAACAACAGGAGGCGCUCUCACCCUGGGCCAAACCAUCAGGAUAAAUGCUCAUCCCUCGACAGAACUGGCCUUACGUUGUGGGGACAGAACGCAUACAGGCGUGAUCCGAUAUUGGCAGACCCCAUUCGGCCAACUCCGUAACCAUGGUAACCGCGGCGACCUUGACCCCGCUCUUUCCAUGCAAAGCGACGGGAGCCUCUUCGUAGCAAACGCCAGCGUUCACCAUAGCGGCCUGUACUACUGCCUCCUAGCGGCCAAGAGCGGAACAACACUCUGGCCUUACCAGGUCAACAUUGGUUUACACAACAGUCCUGACCGACAAAUGGCACCAGGAAGCUCGACCAAGCCAGGCUUCAGACAGGAUCCGGUCCAGUUGAGAUCCAGGACGGAUCCGGUCCAGUCGAGAUCCAGGGAGGACCCGGCUGGCUCUGGGCAGGCAGGUGUUACAAACAGUGUGUUUGCUGGGGCGAUGGUGGCGUCGGUGCUGCUGACCUUCGUGGUGGGCUUCAGCGCCGGAGUCCUGAGCCAGCCCCAAGUCCUCAGGUGUCUGCGGGUCGUCUCCGGUAAGAUCCAAUCACUACGGCGAGGACCACCCACCGGGCGUGGCUGCCAGGUGACCAUGACAACCCUGGAGGUCCCAGACAACAGCGGUGUUUUCUACGAUGACAGCGACUCAGCCCGUGGCGAGACCACCCUGGACUCCACUCGCUCCUCCAGCCCACCGUGGCCCCCCAAGCCCCAGAGAAGCUUCCGGCACAAGAACGGGGAGCAGCCGUGGGCCGCCGCACCCCUGGAGGGGCGGGGUCUAGCCCAGGAGGAGGUGCAGAGGACGAGAGCCACGGAGGGGGAGAAGGAGGUGGAGGAGAGGAUGAAGGAGAGGAAAGAGGGGGAGCCAGAGGAGGGAUGUGUGGAGGCGAGGAGAGAGAGCAGGGGAAAGGAGAAGGAGUUGGAGGAAAGGAGAGAGAGCAGGGACGAGAAGAAAGAGAUGGAGGAGAGGAGAGACAGCAGGAAGGAGGAGAAAGAGAUGGAGGAGAGGAGAGACAGCAGGAAGGAGGAUAAAGAGAUGGAGGAGAGGAGAGACAGCAGGAAGGAGGAGAAAGAGAUGGAGGAGAAGAGAGACAGCAGGAAGGAGGAGAAAGAGAUGGAGGUGAGGCGAGAGAGCAGAGAGAAGGGGAACAGAGAGGGGGAGAAAGAUGAGAAGGAGGUGGAGGAGCGGCUGAAGGAGAGGAGCAGAGUGGGGGAGACAGAUGAGGUGGGGCAGCUGAUAGAGGAGAGGAGCGAUAGGAGGGCAGAGGAGGAGAACACAGAGGGAGAGCCAGGGGAGAUAGUGGAGAGGAGAGGCAUCAGGGAGGGGGAGGCAGGGGUAACUUGGGAGGAGAGCAGGGCAAGUGGAGAACGGUCUCCAACGGUAACCAUAACCGAGGGCAGCAGCGAAGCAGGAGGAAGAGGAGGGACAGGGAGGAAGAGCAAAGGCAUGGCAGAGGGGGAGGAGGUGGUGGUGGAGGGGCAGAUGGAGACCGCCAGCACUGGAGAGGAGCGCCAGAAGGAGGGAGGGGGCGAGGAGCACGGCGACGUUUCCUCAGAAGACGACAACAGCGACUCGUCCUCAGACGAACAGGACGAGGAAAAGCGGGAAAAGGGAAAGGAAGGGAGGGAACAAGUGAACGAAAACGACCAAGGAGCCGAGGGCACAGCCAAGUCGGGCGUCGCCCGGGGCCGGAGGAGCCGCGUGAUUCGUCUGUACCAGUAUGACGACGAGGGCCAGAGGUACAGCCACCUGCCUAGCCCCGCCUCCAUCGAGUUAGACCCCGCCCCGAGGCUCAAACAGCGCUCGCUGUCACUGACGCGUCUCAGCUCCAUCAUGGCCGCCGCUACGGCCGGCCCCCUGACCCUCCCCAGUGGGGGGCCGGGGUUGGAGGAGCGAUGUCCCAGCCCCCCCUUCUCCCCGGCUCCUUUCUUCAACAUGGAUUUAUAAAACCAGAGCUGCUUUUGACUUCAGUGACAGGCCGAGGUCAGGCAUCGUCAGCCCCGCUGACUGAUGGCCGUCCACACCGGUCUAGUACAGCACAUCUUGUUUAAGUUGACCAAUGUUUAAUUAUGCAUUAUGGAGAGAAUGCGCCUUCACAGGAAAAUACGAUUGAGCACCUUGAUGCCAAUUGCUUAUUAAAAACGAGCAUGGCAAGAAUUAAGACGUUUAUGCUGGAGCUUUCUUGAAACGGACCAGACAGAACGGCCACAUAGCCCAACUAGCAAGAUUGAUCCACAGCCAUUAGUCACACUAAACCCACUCCGUCACAGAUUGAUAUUUCAUUCAUAUUUGGGCAUUUAAUACUGGAAGCAUCUUGGUGUUCUCCUGGAUGUUGGGGAGAACCUUUGGGACAUGUGGUUCAGACCUACUGAAAAGUCCCCGCUCCCCUACAGAGGACUACUCAUACACAUCACAAUCUACCCCGCCGUCAAUACAUCAAAGGCCCCAUCAUAUAACA